rnacentral:rRNA from 1 species
UACGUAGGGACCGAGCGUUGUCCGGAUUCAUUGGGCGUAAAGAGCUCGUAGGCGGCCAACUAAGUCAGACGUGAAAUCCCUCGGCUUAACCGGGGAACUGCGUCUGAUACUGGAUGGCUUGAGUCCGGGAGAGGUGAGUGGAACUGCGAGUGUAGAGGUGAAAUUCGUAGAUAUUCGCAAGAACACCAGUGGCGAAGGCGGCUCACUGGCCCGGUACUGACGCUGAGGCACGAAAGCGUGGGGAGCAAACAGG